UACGGAGGGUGCAAGCGUUAUCCGGAUUCACUGGGUUUAAAGGGUGCGUAGGUGGGCUAGUAAGUCCGUGGUGAAAAUCUCUGAGCUUAACUCGGAAACUGCCGUGGAUACUAUUAGUCUUGAAUCUCGUGGAGGUAAGCGGAAUAUGUCAUGUAGCGGUGAAAUGCUUAGAUAUGACAUAGAACACCAAUUGCGAAGGCAGCUUACUACACAGUUAUUGACGCUGAGGCACGAAAGCGUGGGGAGCAAACAGG
rnacentral:rRNA from 1 species